GAACGUUUUAACGAAAGAACAUUGCAUGCGUUUUUACUAGCAAGAAAAAGGAUCUGCAGUUUUGGCAAUUCAAUUUAUUGUUUUCUCAAUUUCUGGCGGAUUAAAAUUCAGAUUCUCGAUCUUCUAUCGUUACAUAAUUGACAAUAGUAACUAAUUAAAGUAUUUUAAAUAAGGGCUGGGAAUUAUUUAGCUGGGGACCUUGGGUACUACAUACUGUAUAACGGUUAGAAUUGUGUAGUACAGACAUCGCACUUACUUGAUCUCGAUUCAAUUGUAAUUUGCAAGUCUGUAGGUUAUAGAGUAGUAUGUGGCUAUAUAGUUGAUUAGCACAGGGGUAAUGAAUAAAAAGCAAUUAUAUCAAGUGUGUACAUAAGUUGUUAUCAUUAAUGAUGUGUGCAUGUUCGACAUAUAAGGGCCAUGCACCAACUACGUCAUCUUUGGGGGGAAUCUACAUUAAUAAAUAUUUUUAUUAAUUAGAAAUAAAGAAAAGUAAUAAAAAUCAUUAUUUUUCCAUAUAAUACAUGUAAUUGAGGUAUCCAU